CCCGCUGAGUUACUCCAGCUUUUUGUGUGAGCCCAGAGGAUAGGUCAGGUUUGGUGGAGAGAAUAGCAUUGGCAUAGGUACUAUCUUGUUCAAUUUGUUUCUUCUGCCUGCUCAUUAAUUGUUCCAUUGGUCGCAGAGCUAUUGAGUGUGUGCUGAUUAUUCAGCAUCCAUUUGGGAUUUUAUUUCUUCACAUUCCUCUGUCAAUGGCUCCCAGAUUAUGCUACGUGCCUGCAACUGAAAGCAAUUCAUAAGCUGCCAUGGAACCCAAUAACAUGUGGAUCCUGGAGAUGUGAAUUGGAAUCACUUAGCAAGCCAUGCAGCAUCUGUGGAGAGAGAAACGGUUAAUGUUUUGGUUACAGGGGCCUUAUUCAGAACAGGCACACACACACACACGGCAUCAGUAGUCAAAGUUGAACCCAGAUCACAAGAGUCCCAGGAUGAUCUAUCUCAAUGCGUUACCCCAAUGACAAGGGCCGACACAUGCUCAGUCCCCUGCCUCUGUUGCCCUGUUUCUUUUUUUAAAUUAUUUUUUUAUUAGAAGCAGUGUACAAAAGUAUAAACCGCGACAUUAAUGACAUAAUACAUUUAUUGUACAGCUUCAAUUUUAAUUUUAGCAAAGAUGGAAAUAGAAAAAGAGAGAAAGUGCAAGAAAGAAAGAAAAUGAAAUAGGACGUGAAUGUGUAAGAAUAGAACCCCUAAACUACCAAAUGAGUGUAGUCGAAGAGUAAGUAAGUAAAAGAAAUAGGAAAAACGUCAAGAAAUAAAAAGACAAAAACGGAAGGAAAAAAAAAAUGUUGAUAUACCUGCUUCAUUUCUCUCCCCACCCAUUCCGUAAAUCGGUUUAAUUCCGAAGCUGUGUUGCCCUGUUUCUAUUGAAGAAUAAUCAUUCUGUGUAUGAAUCCAAAGUGCACUGCAGUAUUCCAAACAUACCAGACCUCAGCAUGACCAGAGAACUGAUUAAAAUGAUAUUUUCUGUUAAUAAUGGUGCUGUCUUUGAGCAAAACAUAUUUUAGUGUGUGUGGGGACCAAGGUAUAAGAAAUAAAAUGUUUGCAGUUUGAA